rnacentral:rRNA from 1 species
GAUGAACGCUGGCGGCGUGCCUAAUACAUGCAAGUCGAGCGAACGGACGAGGAUCUUGCUCCUCUGACGUUAGCGGCGGACGGGUGAGUAACACGUGGAUAACCUACCUAUAAGACUGGGAUAACUUCGGGAAACCGGAGCUAAUACCGGAUAAUAUAUUGAACCGCAUGGUUCAAUAGUGAAAGACGGUUUUGCUGUCACUUAUAGAUGGAUCCGCGCCGCAUUAGCUAGUUGGUAAGGUAACGGCUUACCACGGCAACGAUGCGUAGCCGACCUGAGAGGGUGAUCGGCCACACUGGAGCUGAAACACGGUCCAGGCGACUGCGGGAGGCCGCAGUCGGGAAUGGUCCGCAAUGGGCGAAAGCCUGACGGAGCGGGGGCGCGUGUGUGAUGACGGUGUUGGGAUCGUAAAACUCUGUUAUGAGGGAAGAACAACUGUGUAAGUAAAUAUGCACGUCUUGACGGUAACUAAUCAGAAAGCCACGGCUAACUGCGUG